rnacentral:rRNA from 1 species
ACACAUGCAAGUCGAACGAUGAAGCUGGAGCUUGCUCUGGUGGAUUAGUGGCGAACGGGUGAGUAACACGUGAGUAACCUGCCCUUGACUCUGGGAUAAGCGUUGGAAACGACGUCUAAUACCGGAUACGAGCUUCAGCCGCAUGGNUAGGAGUUGGAAAGAAUUUCGGUCAAGGAUGGACUCGCGGCCUAUCAGCUAGUUGGUGAGGUAAUGGCUCACCAAGGCGACGACGGGUAGCCGGCCUGAGAGGGUGACCGGCCACACUGGGACUGAGACACGGCCCAGACUCCUACGGGAGGCAGCAGUGGGGAAUAUUGCACAAUGGGCGCAAGCCUGAUGCAGNAACGCCGCGUGAGGGACGACGGCCUUCGGGUUGUAAACCUCUUUUAGCAGGGAAGAAGCGAAAGUGACGGUACCUGCAGAAAAAGCACCGGCUAACUACGUGCCAGCAGCCGCGGUAAUACGUAGGGUGCAAGCGUUGUCCGGAAUUAUUGGGCGUAAAGAGCUCGUAGGCGGUUUGUCGCGUCUGCUGUGAAAACGCGAGGCUCAACCUCGCGCCUGCAGUGGGUACGGGCAAACUAGAGUGCGGUAGGGGAGAUUGGAAUUCCUGGUGUAGCGGUGGAAUGCGCAGAUAUCAGGAGGAACACCGAUGGCGAAGGCAGAUCUCUGGGCCGUAACUGACGCUGAGGAGCGAAAGCGUGGGGAGCGAACAGGAUUAGAUACCCUGGUAGUCCACGCCGUAAACGUUGGGAACUAGAUGUAGGGACCAUUCCACGGUUUCUGUGUCGCAGCUAACGCAUUAA